UACGGAGGGUGCGAGCGUUGUCCGGAAUCACUGGGCGUAAAGGGCGCGUAGGCGGCCCGGUAAGUAGGGGGUGAAAUCUUGCGGCUCAACCGCAAGGCUGCCUUCUAAACUGCCAGGCUCGAGCACAGUAGAGGCAGGUGGAAUUCCCGGUGUAGCGGUGGAAUGCGUAGAGAUCGGGAAGAACAUCGGUGGCGAAGGCGGCCUGCUGGGCUGUUGCUGACGCUGAGGCGCGACGGCGUGGGGAGCAAACAGG
rnacentral:rRNA from 1 species